GCGCACGCUACCACGCCUGGCUAAUUUUUGUAUUUUUAGUAGAGAUGGGGUUGCACCAUGUUGGUCAGGCUGGUCUUGAACUCCUGACCUCGUGAUCCACCUGCCUCGGCCUCUCAAAGUGCUGGGAUUACAGGUGUGAGCCACUGUGCCCGGGCAAUUUUUAUUUCUAUUUUAACCACUUCUUGGACAUUUGGGUUGUUUCCACUUUUUGGCUGUUAUGAAUAAUGCUGAGAACCAUCAUGUACAAGUUUCAUGUACACAUGUAUUUUUUAUUUAUCUUAGGCAUAUACUUUGAAAUAGAAUUGUUGGACCAUAUGGUAACUAUAUGUUUAACAUUUUUUUCAUUUUUUUUGAGACAGAUUCUUGCUCUGUCACCCAGGCUGGAGUGCAGUGGUGUGAUCUUGGCUCACUGCAACCUCCACCUCCCGGUUCAAGCAAUUCUUCUGCUUGAGCCUCCUGAGUAGCUGGGACUACAGGUGCAUGCCACCACGCCCGGCUAAUUUUUGUAUUUUCAGUAGAGAUGGGGUUUCACCAUGUUGGCCAGGAUGGUCUCGAACUCCCAACCUCAGGUGAUCCACCCACCGCAGCCUCCCAAAGUGUUGAGAUUACAGGCAUGAGCCACUGUGCCCAGCCAUGUUUAACUUUUUGAGGAAUUUCUAAACUGUUUCCCAAAGUGUCUAUACUAUUUUACAUUUCUGCCAGCAAUGUAUUAGAGUUCCAAAUUUUCCACAUCCUUGUUAACACUAGUUAUUGUCUAUCUUUUUUAUUCUAGCCAUCCUAGUGGUGUGAAGUGGUAUCUCACUGUGGUUUGAUUUGCAUUUCCGUAAUGAAUAAUGAUGUUGAGCAUAUUUUCAUGUGCUUACUGUUUAUCUUCUUUGGAUAAAUGUCUGUUCAAAGUCUUUUUCCAUUUUUUAAUUGGGUUUUGUUUUGUUUUGUUUUAAGGAGCAGAAAGUUUAAUAGGCAAGAAAGAAGGAAGAAGCUCCCCCAUACAGAGACAGAGGGAAAGUCAAGAGGAAACCCUGUGUGGGGCAGAAAAGUGGCUACUUAUAUGAGGAGGCUGGAGGAGGUUGCCUGCCCGGCUCUAAGAGCCCGGUCUUCCCUGCUAGACAAGAAACAUUUCUGGAGCUGCUUUAAAAGAAACGAAAACUUCCCAAGGACCCCUUUUCCUGUCUCUCUGCCUAAAAUAAUUUAUUAAUAACUCCUAUAACAUUCUCCCCUGUGGAGAGGUCACCCUAACUGCUGUUAGGGGGUUUUGGGCAACAACUAUUUCUGGCUACUUCCUGCUGAAAAGGGGUGUCGAAUGGGGAACAGCAGCUAGGGCCCCUCCUGGGGUCGAUAAGGGUCCUCAGAAGAAUGGCAUGUCCAUGCAUGGUUCAGUUUGCAGCAGCAUUUGGAGUUGGAUUGCUUCUAGGCGAGAGGAAACAAUUUGAUUUAUAGUAUUGAGAAUACAGGGUUCAAAUAUUAAUACAAGACAUAUAAGCAAGAGAGGGCUUAAUAAAGGGGUUAACCAAUUCCAUAAAGAAGACUGGAAUGCAUUAAAGAGGGAUUGUAGCCACCCGGGGCUGAAGCCUCCAUUUUUCCGUCAGCCUGUCAAUAGUUUUGAUUUGAUCUUUAAGUACCUGGUGUAGUAAAUAAUUUUCAUCUAAAAUUUUACUUGCCAAGAUAUAGAAUUUCCCUCUGGGGGGUGUCUAUGAAGUUCCUUGAUUUUAUUUUCCCAAACAAAGAAACCUCUGGGUUAUGGGCACCCUACUCACUUUCAUUACCUGGCAGAAUUUGCAGGAUAAUUGCUCAGAACUACCAUAUUGAUCUGGAUUUUUACGUUACCCAUCCCUUUUUGUUUCUUCCAAGCUGCAGGUGAUCACCACUUGGUCCACAGGAAUAAGCAGGGUUAGUUUAAAAUGUAGGCAAAAAGCUUAAAAACAAUUAAUGAGACUAGGAUUUAAUGACAAAUGUAUGAUAAGCUUUGGAGAACAAUUUCUCUCUCCAGUCCUUAU
rnacentral:lncRNA from 10 species